GGGCUGGUGGCUCAGUGGUAGGGUGCUUGCCUUGCAUGCAUGAGGCCCUGGGUUCGAUUCCUUAACACCACA
rnacentral:tRNA from 1 species